rnacentral:rRNA from 1 species
GUCUACGGCCAUGGCACCCUGAACGUGCCUGAUCUCGUCUAAUCUUAGAAGCUAAGCAGGGUGGGGCAUAGUUAGUACUUGGAUGGGAGAACACCUGGGAAUCCCAGGUGCUGUAGGCA